AGUCAAUAGAUACCCGGGUAGUCCACGCCGUAAACGAUGAGUACUAGGUGUAGGAGGUAUCGACUCCUUCUGUGCCGCAGUUAAACACAAUAAGUACUCCGCCUGGGAAGUACGGUCGCAAGAUUAAAACUCAAAGGAAUUGACGGGGGCCCGCACAAGCAGCGGAGCAUGUGGUUUAAUUCGAAGCAACGCGAAGAACCUUACCUAGACUUGACAUCUCCUGAAUAGUGUAGAGAUACAUGAAGCCCUUCGGGGCGAGGAAGACAGGUGGUGCAUGGUUGUCGUCAGCUCGUGUCGUGAGAUGUUGGGUUAAGUCUCGCAACGAGCGCAACCCUUAUUACUAGUUGCUACCAUUAAGUUGAGCACUCUAGUGAGACUGCCCGGGUUAACCGGG
rnacentral:rRNA from 1 species